rnacentral:sRNA from 1 species
CAUUACUCUAGAAAGUUCCUUCAUAUGAAAAUAUGGAAUGCCUCAUGAAUUUAUAUGCCGUUCUUGUGCAGUAGUAUUUAUAGUAAAAAAAAAAAAAAAAAAGGUUUAACAAGGCUUGUUUUCUCUAAAAAAUUACCUGUUCACAAUAGCUCUCUUUUUUAGUGUGCUGAAGGAGGCAUCUGAAUUAUACAUAAAGUUGAGAUGGUCAUUUAUGAGAUUCACUAGAACAGGGUUCUGCAAACUGCAAAUAUGUCUGCCAUCUGAUUUUGUGAAUGAAGUUUUACUGGAACACAGAUGAAGAAAACCUGCUUGAUAUCACACAGUCAGGAGUCAACUGAGUUGGGGCUUUGAACUUAGGUUUAUCUGAUGCCAAAGUUUGUGAUGCUCUUCAACCAUUUAGGGUACCGCAGAGUGUGGAUUUUGAAUCACCUGCAUCAGCAUCAUUUUAAAAUAUAGAUUCUGUGGUCCUGACCAGGUCUCUGAAGUCAGAAUAUGAAGUGGAGCUAGGAAUCUAACUUCUUAACAAGUUCCCUAGAUCCCUAAGGGUAUCCCUGAAUGAUACAGUUUUGUUUGAAAGACUGAAAAGCCCAAAGCUGGCCCUUUUGGGAAAUAGCAGUAAAUCAUUGAUAUGUGAAGGUUCCC